CGAACGGGUGAGUAACGCGUGAGUAACCUGCCCUGAGUGGGGGACAACAGUUGGAAACGACUGCUAAUACCGCAUAAGCCCACGGAUCCGCAUGGAUCUGCGGGAAAAGGAUUUAUUCGCUUCAGGAUGGACUCGCGUCCAAUUAGCUAGUUGGUGAGGUAACGGCCCACCAAGGCGACGAUUGGUAGCCGGACUGAGAGGUUGAACGGCCACAUUGGGACUGAGACACGGCCCAG
rnacentral:rRNA from 1 species